rnacentral:rRNA from 1 species
GAUGAACGCUGGCGGCGUGCUUAACACAUGCGAGUCGAACGAGAAGUGGAGACGGACGCCUUCGGGAGGAAGGCGGUAUUUCGAGGGGCGGCAGGGGGAGUAACGCGUGGGUAGCCUGCCUCAUACAGGGGGAUAACAGUUGGAAACGACUGUUAAUACCGCAUCAGACCACAGCACAGCAUGAUGCGGGGGUGAAAACUCCGGUGGUAUGAGAUGGACCCGCGUUGGAUUAGCCAGUUGGAGCGGUAACGGCCCACCAAAGCGACGAUCGGUAGCCGGGCUGUGAGGCUGACUCGCCACACCGGCACUGAGCCACGGCCCAAACUCCUACGGGAUGCAGCAGUGGGUAAUAGUGCACCAUGGGGUAAAUGCUGAUGCAGCGCCGCCGCGUGAGUUCAGAAGUAUUUCGGUAUGUAAAGCUCUAUCAGCAGGGAACAACAUGACGGUACCUGAGGAAGAAGCCCCGGCUAACUACGUG